GUGGAUUAGAUACCCUGGUAGUCCACGCCCUAAACGAUGCCAACUAGGUGUUGGAGAAGGAGACUUCUUUAGUACCGUAGCUAACGCGUGAAGUUGGCCGCCUGGGGAGUACGGUCGCAAGAUUAAAACUCAAAGGAAUUGACGGGGACCCGCACAAGCGGUGGAUGAUGUGGAUUAAUUCGAUGCAACGCGAAAAACCUUACCUACCCUUGACAUGCCAGGAAUUCUGCUGAGAGGUGGAAGUGCCCGAAAGGGAGCCUGGACACAGGUGCUGCACGGCCGUCGACAACU
rnacentral:rRNA from 1 species